UAAUCAUCUCACAUAUAAAUAACAACAAAUAAAUAUAGUUUUAACAAAUACUUAACAUAAAUUAGCUAUUAUCAGCUACUAACUAUCAGCUAACAAUUAUCAACUAUAUUCAACAAUUAAACUAAACAGGCCCUAAAUCAAAUCCAAAAGAAAUAGCACUAUAAAUGGGAACAGGAGGGGAAGAUCCCCUAAUAAAAUGUAGCCUAAAGAUGAGGCACAUGAUUCGCUGAUCUUCUAAUCCUACACGAUAGGAACAAUAGAAACCGGCAUAGAGUUUCUUAAUAGACGUUUACAAUCCUACACAAUAACAACAAAGUACGAACCAUCCUCCUCAUCAGCCCGAAGCCCCCGAACAAGCAGUAGGGAAUCCAACUCAAACGUUACACGUUGGGUAACUCUAGUCCGCAACCAGUCCAACGCCAACUUGAAUGCCAAAGCCUAAGCUACCUUAGGAUCUCGCAAGCCAUCCAUCUGCAAUUGACAAGCAUACAAAACAGCCCCAUUAUCAUCCCGAACCAUCCAACCAGCACCCUAUUUGUCCAUAACAGAUAGUAACGAAGCAUCCACAUUACAUUUAACAAUAAAGAGCUUGAUAUAGGGAAUUAUCCUACAACACUCUGAUCAUGGGUUUUCUAUUCUGUAAAGGAAUAAAUUAUAGUCUUCAUAAAUUAGGAGUUAAUGAUUAACAAAUCUCCCAGUUGGGAACUUGAAGAAUGCCUCCCCAUAUGGCCAAGCUUUAUUUAGAAUGCUUAUGUUUAGACAGUUACUGUUGCCUGGAUCAUAGACUCAAUCCCCAAACACAAACAGGCCAAUAUGCUUCUUUUUAGGCUCAACAUCAGAGAUUUCUCAAUGAGAAUGCAGGCAAAGGACAGUAAGAAUCCUAAAAGAAAACUUAGUCUUGAGAUGUUCUGUUUUUACUUGAGAAAUUCCCCCAUUUCUGUCCAUUUUCAUGGAUUGGUACUCUCCCACUGCAUACGAAGAAUCAACCUAACUUUAGCAAUUUUUAAAACAUGUGAUACAGGAAUGUUUGGUGCAAAAGAAUUUCAAUAAUUAUUCUCAUUCUUUCCCUUUUAUUCUGCAGUUCCUCUGUAUCACAAUGCCUAGUUGUGGAUUGUUAGAUAGAUGCAUCAUUUUCUAAGCUUAAUUAAAUUAUAAGCUAUAGCCCAAUAGUACUGAUAUCUUCUCUGGAACGGUAAGGUUUUGAGUUUGAGUUCCAGUCAAACCCAAUUAUACUAAUAAAAAAAAAACGGGGCACAAGAG
rnacentral:misc_RNA from 1 species